rnacentral:lncRNA from 1 species
UGUACAAACACAGUAACCAACAAUAACCAACAGACAAACAACAAUUAGGUCAAGUAAUCACAGAUACCACUAGAUACUCGCAAUUACAAAGUCAGAUAAGCACACAUAAAUUGAGGAGAAGGACACAGAGUUACCCUCCUUCUUCGCAACCGGAGAAGAUCAGCCUUCAAACACAGAGAAACCCUAGGUUUCAAACCCUAGGUCUAAAUUUUGAAAAAUAAAACUUUACCAGAGAGCUGGUGAGGAACGUCGGAAACACACUCAAACCGUCCAGAGAAUGACAAUCGGGCCAGCGGAAUGCGGUAAAACCGUAGGU